AAAUUCACGGGAUCCGUGGUCAGGCUGGAAUGAGAAUGAGAAACGAACGAUCACUAAUGAAUCUUGGCCAGCGAUUCGGCGAUCAGGAUUCCAGAACAGUCACUACAAGAAAAAGGGGUUGGAGCUCGACGAACGAUGCAGGCUGCAAUCAUACACGCCUUGACGAGGAAAUUUAUGCGCAAGCGACCCAACAAGCCAUUCGACAGUCCCUACUGAACAUCCAAGAAAGCCAUGGGGGUUAAAAACCAUGAGAAAAAAACGCUUGCGUCCCAAAUACUCUUGGACAGGCUUGAGCCUCCGCGUAAAUCAGAAUCCUCUUCCGCCUCAUAUUACAUGGGUAGAUAUUUAUGAAUGACUUCUGGGUACCGUGACAAGAAAAACACCAAUCGAAUUACGUUCAUGGAUGAGGAUUCUGAGACAGAUUUUGUGACCGAGGAGUGCAACUGCCGGAGAAAAUAUAAUUAAUGAUUUUUCAAACAUG